CAGCAGUCGCCGCGGGAAUACGUAGGGCGCAAGCGUUAUCCGGAAUUAUUGGGCGUAAAGAGCUCGUAGGCGGUUUGUCGCGUCUGCCGUGAAAGUCCGGGGCUCAACCCCGGAUCUGCGGUGGGUACGGGCAGACUAGAGUGAUGUAGGGGAGACUGGAAUUCCUGGUGUAGCGGUGAAAUGCGCAGAUAUCAGGAGGAACACCGAUGGCGAAGGCGGGUCUCUGGGCAUUAACUGACGCUGAGGAGCGAAAGCAUGGGGAGCGAACAGGAUUAGAUACCCGUGUAGUCCCUGUCUCUUAUAC
rnacentral:rRNA from 1 species